rnacentral:misc_RNA from 1 species
UAUCCUCAAACCUUCUUGGUUUCUUGACCGAGAAGGCUUUGGACUUUGGAGGCUUUUGCUGGCUUUCACUUAUUGAAGCCAGCUCCUCUUAAAUGAAUUAGUGGGGUCUGCUUUGCUAAUCCUUGAUGUGAUAAGAUGCUUCUACGUCUUGGGUUUUGCACUGAUUGCUAUAGAUCCUGCUUCUAACUGUCUUGAAGAAGACAAUGGUUGAGUGAUUGCCACUUGACCCAGAAA